GAAAAAAAAGGUGAGCAAUGAGCUUAUUGUUUAUCUUCAUCUUCAUGGAAGCCUCGCAAUGCCAGGCCUUUGUAUUUACUUCAAGGAGAAAUCAUAGAAUUGCAAACAUGAGAUGGAGGAAUCGAGUAUAGGAACUUCGUAUUCACAAAAAUAUACUGAAUUUCUUCGUUUUCACAUGGAUUUUACUUGGUAUCUUUCAACCAAGCACCAACUGAUGGAAUCUCAUCACAUGUCACUUUUCAACCACCGGAUGAAAUCAUGUUGGUGAAUCUUAUUUUGCAGAUCGACAGUGAAAUCAUUGAAGAUUGAGCCUAAGUUCAAUGGAUGAAUAGUUUCCUCUGCAUCAAACGUGCAUAAUCAAAUCACAGACCAGCACUUGCUCAUGUCUCAGAGUGGAUUACAGAGUAAGCAAAUUGCUACCUUAUCAUGAAGGAGAUAUAGCAGGAUGAAACUUACUGCAUAUUUGAGGAACAUCUGGAACAACAAGUCCUGAAAAAACACAAAAUUAUCUACAACCAUGAGACAUGACAAUUCAGAAUGAUGUACAAAUUAGGGUAGGUCAAUGGUAUGAAAUAAGACUUCAUUAUCAGCACCAUAUUGGAAAUGCCACAAAAAAUAUUAGGAAAACUCAACCAAUGCAGAUCUGUUUCCAGGAAUACACUCAUUGGAAAGGAAAACUAGCCUCAGAGCCUUUAUGAUGACAUUGAAGCGCCCAUUAAGUGAGGCGGAGCACUCAACAUGUUUUGCGCCUCGCAUCAGCACUUAAGUGCGCCUUUGACAACACAGGUCAGAAGCACAAAAAAACCGCUCCACUGCAGAGGAGAAUUAUAAAGUUUUACUAUAUCAAUGUCAGUGCAAAGACCAUAUCUUCAAGAGUUCACAUCAAAGAUUUCAGACAUAAACCAUAAAUUAUUAUAUAUGCUGGUAGAUUGGCAAUUAAAUGUUCCUUGCAUCUUUCUGUUUUAUUUAUUGAUUGAUUAUUAAAUGUAGCAAGCAAUUAUAAUCGUAAUCAUGUAAGAACUUCAACGGUUGUUUAUAUUAACAUGCUUGCGAGUCUUCAUGGUGGAAUGAUGAAGCGAAACCAGAAAUGUAUCUCUAUUUAUCAAAGUCUUGGAAGAUGAUUUUCAUGCAA